GCUGCAGCAGAAGAGCGGAAAUGUCAAACGUGGAGGGCUGUGCCUGGCUGCUCCUGAGAAAACUGGAAGAUGGUGUGCCAUGUCAGAUCACGAGGCCACGAAGUGCACCAGUUUCCGAGACAAUAUGAAAAAAGUGUUUCCAGCAGAUGGUCCCCUUGUCACCUGCGUGGAGAGAGCGUCUUCCCUUGAGUACAUUAAAGCCAUCACAGUCCUCAGGAUGAGUUCACAUGACCCUCUUCCUCCACAAAGUCCUCCCCUGUCAUCCCAUGGCAUGUGAUCCUGCCCUCCUGACAACUCUGCCAACGCUCUCUCCUUAGCACUGGGGGACUCAGAGAUGAACUUGGCAAAGACUUGUCUUGAGUCAUUCACAGAUGAGUGUGGGAGGCACACGAGUAUGGAUUCUUACCUGAUGGAAUUGGACUACCUCAUGGACAUGGAUGGCGUCCUUUAUGGAGGACAAAGGGACUGAUUUGCAGGAUGUAUCUGGGAAAGUUCCUGGGCCCUGGGGAGUAACUGUGUGCAUCCUAAGGAGGUGGGGGGUGGGGG
rnacentral:lncRNA from 1 species